rnacentral:RNase_P_RNA from 1 species
ACUGCAAGCCGCGCUAUCGAUCCCAAACUUUCAUGUUGGGGUAGGAAAGUCCGGACAGCAUCGGGCAACGCAUCCCGCUAACGGCGGGACAUUGCAGCGCAAGCUGUAAGCGAGAUAGUGCCACAGAAAAUAGGAGCCUGCAUCCCGGCCGAAACGCCGGGAUUUGUUCCCGAAAGGGAAAGGGUAAUCGUGAAAACGUGGGGUAAGAGCCCACGGCUGGCCAUCGGAAGGUGGCCUUCGGGUAAACCUUGCGUGCUGAAAUGCCAUGUAUAGGGGCAAUUUGGAGUGGCCCAUUCCACACCCGCAAGGGUGGUGCUCCAGGGUAGGCAGCUAGAGGCGGCCAGCAAUGGACGUCCCAGAUAAAUGAUAGCGGUCCUGGUCUAACAACCAGGAUACAGAAUCCGGCUUACAGGCUUGCAGUAUUU